UUACGGCCAUAUCACGUUGAAACAUCGGUUCCCGUAUGAUCACCAAAGUCAAGCAACGUCGAGCCUGAUCAGAAUCAAGAUGAGAGACCGCUUGGGAAUACCUUCUACUGUAAG